UGGACGAAUCUCGCCCCCCGGACCCGGGAUAGCCCAGGGGAACCUGGAUUAAUACCGGAUGAGACGGGACCCGCGAUGGCGGGAUCCGGGAAAGGCGCUGCGGCGCCGCCGGGGGGAUGAGUCUGCGUCCCAUUAGCUAGACGGCGGGGUAAGGCCCACCGUGGCGACGAUGGGUAGCCGGCCUGAGAGGGUGGACGGCCACAUUGGAACUGAGACACGGUCCAGACUCCUACGGGAGGCAGCAGCUAAGAAUCUUCCGCAAUGGGCGAAAGCCUGACGGAGCGAACCGCCGCGUGAACGAAGAAGGCCGUGAGGUUGUAAAGUUCUUUUCGGGAGGGGGAACAACCGUGGCAGGGAAUGGCCGCGGGAUGACCGUGAAUCCCGGAAUAACGCCCCGGCUAACUACGUGCCAGCCGCCGC
rnacentral:rRNA from 1 species